rnacentral:rRNA from 1 species
UACGAAGGGGGCUAGCGUUGCUCGGAUUGACUGGGCGUAAAGGGCUCGUAGGCGGCCAACUAAGUCAGACGUGAAAUCCCUCGGCUUAGCCGGGGAACUGCGUCUGAUACUGGAUGGCUCGAGUUUGGGAGAGGGAUGCGGAAUUCCAGGUGUAGCGGUGAAAUGCGUAGAUAUCUGGAGGAACACCGGUGGCGAAGGCGGCAUCCUGGACCAACACUGACGCUGAUGAGCGAAAGCCAGGGGAGCAAACGGG